AUACAACCAGGGGCUUGUUCUUUUUUCACUUGUAGCAAGCUUCUCGAAAAACUUUAGGAAUAUUGAUCUCAUUGUUAUUGGGUGAACCUUCAGAGAUUUUUAUUCCAUGAAAGAAGGUUCAAUAAACAAUGACACAACU